UCUUCUUUAUCUUCCCUUCCUCAACACCAAGAAUCAUCCACCACCACCACCACCAGCUUCCAGCAGCCGCCGCCACCAGCUUCCAUCGCCGGCCACCAGUAGCCGCCACCGCCGGUGGUCCCCCUCUCAAGUUGGUUGAAGUUCUUUGCCUUACCCAUCAUCCUCUCAAGUCUUUGUGAGCAAUUUCUAACCGAAUUUGAUUUUGUGCCCAAUUCAUAAGAGAAGCUUGAGAAUCCCAUAUUUGGCGGUUGUGGUAACCUUUUGUCUUGCAGCAGGAUCGUCCUAGAUAAGAGUAACAGGUAUUGGAGCUUCUUCUGCAUUGCAUUGGGGGAGAGUGAUGAGUGUGAAGCAUAACACGAGUUAUGCAUUGGUCUUUUGACUUCAUAGCUCUUUUAUGUCUUUUGUAAAUUUUAGGUUGUAUAUGCUUUUGGUAUGAGGCAUUGUGUCCAGCGUUGUAUUUUCAUAAUUCCGCUACGUAGUUAUGGUCUUGUAUGUUUUUGAAGUGUUUUAUUUUUUUAAAAACUCAAGCGUUAACACUGAGACCACGAUCCAUGCUUGUCAUGAUGAUUUGGGGAGCUGAUGAUGAAUCAUUCUGUUGUAAUAAGAGAUUUUAAAGGCGAUGAUGCCUUGAAUGAGUUUAGUUAUUUUAUUGUGCUUUAUAUUCCGUCACACCCUCGAUUUUUAGUGAAAAUGCUGCCGAAAAUUGUACUCACAUUUUUAAAAUUUAUUAUUAUUUUACAGAUUUAGUUAUGUAUAUACUCAAUGUAAGUAGUUAAACA